UCACCUGCCUGUGCUCACAGGGCCCAGUGCUGAGCAGACCAGCAAAGAUGAGUCUUCAGUCUGGGGGCCACAGUGCCUCUGGCCCAGCCCUUCCAUAGUUCCCAACUGGCCCGAAACUCAAAGGCACAGCUGACGGGCCUUUCAGAACCAGCCUUUUCAGCCCAGUCCUGCAUCUGUCCAACACCUGGGUGCCCCCAGGGCGGCUCAGCGAGGGGCUCACUACUAUGACUGUGCCACUGCACUCCAGCCUGGGCGACACAGCGAGACUCGCAGGAAAAAAAAAGAGAUUAGUUGACUUGAAUGAGGUUAACCCUUGGCCUGGUGUCAGCGAUGAGCACGUGGAUUUGUGUUCAGCUGAACUGCAUGUGGACCAAUCACCUUAAAAACGCCAUCUGUGGCCUUGCAGCUGGAACCACCAUCUUCCAGUAAUUCGCCCAAAUGACAAACACAAAGAGAAAGAGGAGAGGCACCCGAUACACGUUCUCCGGCUUUUUAGAAAACAGUUGUUCCUCUGGCCACGUAUAUGCGAAUCUGUAAGAAAGCUGAUACUGCAGACAUCAAGGGAAUGGGUACUGUUCAAAAAGGAAGCCCCACAAGUGCUGCCAUGGCUGAACUGGGGAGUCUGCAGUGUUCCCCAGCACGCUGCUGGCGUUGUUGUAAACAAACAAGGGCAAGAUUCUUGCUGAGAGAAUUAAGGUGUGUACUGAGCACACUGAGCACUCUAAGAGCCGAGACAGCUUCCUGAAACGCGUGAAGGAAAAUGAUCAGAAGAAGAAAGAAGCCGAAGAGAAAGGUACGUGGGUUCAACUGAAGCGCCAGCCUGCUCCACCCAGAGAAGCAGCUUUGUGAGAAUCAACGGGAAGGAGCCCAAGCUGCUGGAACCUCUUUCCGAUGAAUUCAUGGCAUCAUAGGUGUUAAAAAAACACAAGACCUCUGGACUAUAAAAUGUUUCUCUUCAUUGAGUAGAAGUGUGGCAUCCUCUCCCCCAAAGAAAUAUUUAAAGCAAAUUUUAAUUGUGUCCUAAUUCAUUAUAUAAUGUCUUUACUA